AUGAUGAUGCAAAGGGGCAGCGAUGGAGUGUUUUCAAAACGCAGUGUAUUGGGUUUGUCCAUGUGGCUCCACCCGCAACCACACCACGUGGAGUGGCUAUACAACUCCGAAAAAUUAAAGAUCAUACAUAAAGUACGUGUGAAGUUUGGAGUUAGAGAUUAUAUUGAUAAGAUGGACUGUGAUGUUGUGCCGAUGGAGGCGUGCCAGUUGCUAUUGGGAAGACCAUGGCAGUUUGAUCAUGAUGCCGUUCAUGCUGGAAGAACCAACACAUACACAUUUAUGCAUGACGGAAGGAAGCAUAUGCUGAAACCAAUGGCGGACAACGCAAUCAACAUAGAACUACAAAUUCCGGAAAAGGCGGAGCAGAAAAUUGAGGAUGAUAAGGCCAUAAGAAGAUGCAAUACAAUGCCACGUAAAAUUCAUCGAGGAGCCGACGGAAAACUACGAGUACUGUGCGGUCCAGAAUUAAGGGAUAAAAAUAAAUGUACAAGUGGGAGAGCAGUUUACUAUAGGGUUGUCCAAGUAAAAAAAGAACCGAGAACCAGAACCGGAGGAAAUAACCCCACGUUCAGAACUCCACCGCAAGGAAUCAAGAUUGGGUCAUUUGAGUUCCCAUUGAAUAAAGAAAAGGAAGGCACGUUACAUGCUAUAGAUAAAUGCAUGCAUGUGUAA
rnacentral:rRNA from 1 species